UACGGGGGGGGCAAGCGUUGUUCGGAAUUACUGGGCGUAAAGGGCUUGUAGGUGGCCAACUAAGUCAGACGUGAAAUCCCUCGGCUUAACCGGGGAACUGCGUCUGAUACUGGAUGGCUGGAGUGUGGGAGAGGGAUGCGGAAUUCCAGGUGUAGCGGUGAAAUUCGUAGAUAUCGAGAGGAACACCAAUAGCGAAGGCGGCGACCUGAACAGACACUGACGCUGAGACGCAAAAGCGUGGGGAGCAAACAGG
rnacentral:rRNA from 1 species